UACGGAGGAUGCGAGCGUUAUCCGGAAUUAUUGGGUUUAAAGGGUGCGUAGGCGGCCCAUUAAGUCAGCGGUGAAAGCCCGGGGCUCAACCCCGGAACCGCCGUUGAUACUGGUGGGCUUGAGUAUGGACGAGGUUGGCGGAAUUGAGGGUGUAGCAGUGAAAUGCUUAGAUACCGCCAAGAACCCCGAUUGCGUAGGCAGCUCGCUUGGCCGAAACUGACGCUGAGGCACGAAAGCGUGGGGAGCGAACAGG
rnacentral:rRNA from 1 species